AGCGAACGCUGGCGGCAGGCCUAACACAUGCAAGUCGAACGGGCUCUUCGGAGCUAGUGGCGGACGGGUGAGUAACACGUGGGAACGUGCCUUUAGGUUCGGAAUAAGCCCGGGAAACUGGGUCUAAUACCGAAUGUGCCCUUCGGGGGAAAGAUUUAUCGCCUUUAGAGCGGCCCGCGUCUGAUUAGCUAGUUGGUGAGGUAAUGGCUCACCAAGGCGACGAUCAGUAGCUGGUCUGAGAGGAUGACCAGCCACAUUGGGACUGAGACACGGCCCAAACUCCUACGGGAGGCAGCAGUGGGGAAUCUUGCGCAAUGGGCGAAAGCCUGACGCAGCCAUGCCGCGUGGAUGAUGAAGGUCUUAGGAUUGUAAAAUUCUUUCACCGGGGACGAUAAUGACGGUACCCGGAGAAGAAGCCCCGGCUAACUUCGUGCCAGCCGCCGCCGUAA
rnacentral:rRNA from 1 species